rnacentral:rRNA from 1 species
GUCCGAGCGAGAUCUUCAGGGUCUAGCGGCGGACGGGUGAGUAACGCGUGGGAACGUGCCCUUUGCUACGGAAUAGUCCUGGGAAACUGGGGGUAAUACCGUAUACGCCCUUUUGGGGAAAGAUUUAUCGGCGAAGGAUCGGCCCGCGUUGGAUUAGGUAGUUGGUGGGGUAAUGGCCUACCAAGCCGACGAUCCAUAGCUGGUUUGAGAGGAUGAUCAGCCACACUGGGACUGAGACACGGCCCAGACUCCUACGGGAGGCAGCAGUGGGGAAUCUUAGACAAUGGGGGCAACCCUGAUCUAGCCAUGCCGCGUGAGUGAUGAAGGCCUUAGGGUUGUAAAGCUCUUUCAGCUGGGAAGAUAAUGACGGUACCAGCAGAAGAAGCCCCGGCUAACUCCGUGCCAGCCG